UAAAGAGUAUGAUAAGAUCAAUUAAAAUAGUUAAGAUUACAUAAAAUAAAAAAUAAAAAUUUAGAUUAAAAUAAAUAGAUGAUAAUAAAAAAAAUUAUUGAGAUAUGAAAAAAAAUUUUAUUUCUUAAAAAUUUAUAUUUUAUUUUUUUAAUUAAUAUAAAUAGAUACUCGAAGACAACCAAACUGGUAGUUACUUGAAAGAAAAAAAACAAAAACAAAAACAAAAAAAAGGUUAGUUAUCAGAGCCAACAUCCAUCCCGAUCCGCGACGGCUCCAUCUCCGUCGCCCUCUGCACCCUCGUCGUCCUCCUUGGCUCAUCCAGUUGGGCUUCACCGCCCGCUACACUUUCCCUCACCCUGGACGAGAUCAUUGCCAACCUCGGCCUCUCCCUUCCGGUUCUCUUUGGUGUGACGGUUUCUUUACUGCUUGGCGUGACGGCGAUGUGUGUUGGUGGUGCCAGUUCUCGACUCUUGGUUCUCUGUCCAACAUCAGAGCCAUGGUGGGGAAUAUUUCCAGCGGACAGAUUGCGGAGGACAUCGGGCGCAAAGGAGCGAAGCAGAUCUGACCUUUUUUCUGGUUCCCGUCAGGAUCUGAUCAUGAUGAGUCUUUGACGUGAUUGUUGUUGGAAGGGUUCAGUGUCAGUGUGAGCUCCUAGACAGUAUGUUACCAUCCUUCUGCAAGCGUUUGAUCCAUUUUGGUGGAGUUUUAUGCGGUCCGACUCUUGAUCUAUAGACGUCUCAUCACUUGCCUGAUAGUUCCCAAGAACUAUCAGAGAUUGUUCCUAAGAACUUGAGAGGGGCACUCGGCUCUGUGGAUCAGAAUUCAGUGGCCUGAUCAACCAGGACACCAAUCCCAUUAGGCAUUGAUCUACAUGCACUGCAGCAGCAAAGUGGAAUCAAGUCAAUCAACAGAUACUUCCUGUUAAUAUCAAGAGCCCUGCUAAUCAUUCCAGAAUACUUGCCAACCGGUUGACAUCAUUUGUGAUAACAAUGAUUGCAAAGUUACUUCUGGGCUGGAGCACCGGAGUUUGAAAUGUGUGCUCUCAAGAUACCGAUACCACUCCAAUGAUAAUAUGGGUGCCUGAGACCAAGGGAGGAACUCUCGAGGAAUCACAGUAGUCUAUCAGAGAAAAAGAUGGAAGUAGAAUGAUGAUGGAUUCAAAACUUACUCUUUCAUGUCCUUGGCAAGCUCUAGGUUGAAUAUGUUGUCAUUCUCUCCCCACAACAAGAGUAUCCUCUGCAUCAUGUGAAAAUGAAAACACCAAGAAUAAUCAUGCUCUUCAAUUCCACAUUUUGGCAGCAUACAAGAGGUUGGCUUCGCAAAGGAUUGUAAUGGAAGAAAUCGGAUACCUGCACACAUACCUGAUCCAAAGAGGGAACCUUCGCAUCUUUGUUGCUGAUCACCAAACCCUCGAGCAGUUCUGCCCUCUCCUUCCGAUUGCUAAACAUCACCUGUUCAUAUCCACACCGAUCAGUGGAUGGAAUCAGCAGGCAUUUGCAUGCAUGCAGUCAGUACCUCGAGGUAGUCCUUGUAGAGGAAGUCCGGGAACCAUAGCUUCUUGUGCAUGGAGACGGAGAGCAGGGCCUUGAGGCCCUUGAUGGACUCCGGCAUGAGGAGCUCCGAGGAGGAGGCGAAGCCGAGCUGGUCCAGCGUCGCCCUGCUGAUGGAGUCCGUCAUGGCGAAGACGGAGCCGGAGACGACCAGCGAGCGCACCAGGUCCGGUCGCAGCUCCGCCAUCUUGAACGCCACCAUCCCUCCGUAGCUGAACCCCACGGCGGUGCACCGCCGCACGCUGAGCUUGUCGAGCGCCGCGGCCAGGCACUCAGCCUGGAAGGCCGGGGAGCGGUCGGCGGCGGCGGUGGUCGACUCCCCGAAGAAGAACAGGUCGGGGAUGUACACCUCGUACUGGUUCACCAGCACCCCGAACUGGAACUGCCACGUGACGAUCCCUUCCGCUGCGAAUCCGUGCACCAGUACCACCGCUGGCUUCUCCUUCUCUUUGCCUCGCUGCUUCUUCUUCUUCUUCCUCUUGUCUUCCUCCUCGUCCCUGCUGCCAUCGCUACUCAGGUCAGGAACUACUUCUUUGUUGGUGGCCUUCUUCUUGUUGGCCAUGACCUUCUCCUUGGGAACCCACAUGCUGAUGACAGUGCCGGGCUCGAUCUCGAUGGUCUGCUGGCGCAGCCCCGCACCCCGCACCAGCCAGUGCAAGAUGGGCUUCUGUGCUUCCACCCAAUUCACCAUCUUUGUCACUGCCUCCGGCAGCAGCAGCAGCACUCUCUCUCUCUCUCUCUCUCUCUCUCUCUCUCUCUCUCUCUCUCUCUCUCUCUCUUCUCUCUAGACAAGCCUACCUCUCCAGGCUUAGCUUACUUCAUGUGCACACUCCUGUAGAGUUUAUAAAGAAGGUGGUGGCUGGGAAUGGUCCGUAGGAGAGGAAGCUUGUGCCGGGAAGCCUAUGAAUGCUGCCAUGGGUAGUUCUUGGUAGCUCUCU